UACGGGAACAAAUCUGGACUGUUCGAUCGCAGGCACACAGAUUGCCAAUGUGGCCUCUCGUGUGGCACCAUGUCAACGUGUCUUGCCACGCGGCGCACUCCGGUUCGUCGGGGCUGCUAACUGGGCAGUCCCACAUGGCAUAUUUUUCCUAUAUUAUAUCUUGACCAUCAGUUUCUAAUUUUUCUUUCAAAAAUACCUCCAUAACCU
rnacentral:lncRNA from 1 species